GCGAGGGUGUGCGGCGAGGUGCUGGCUUCGGGGGGAAGCGGCCACCACCGCCGGCCUCCGCCGCUCCGCGCCUCUCUCCCGGCCACCCUGCGCCGCCAGGGCCCCGCGGACCUGCAAACCCGAGGCCGAGAGCGGAACUGCCCUGCCGUUUCCCGGGCUCGGGGAUCUCGGGGCUCGCGAUGGCGAUGCGCCGCGAGGAAAGGCGAGGAGCUGCGUGGGGGCUGAGUGUCCUCGGAGCGCCGGGACGCGGGGAGCGCACGCCCCCGGGCUGGGGAAGCUGCCGCCCCGGGACCCCCUGGGCCAAGUCCCUCCAUCUUCGCGGCGCCCGAGCACUGAGGCCGGGGCGGCCGGCGCUCUGGCCUUGGAUGGAAAGUGGGAGAUGGGAUGCGGGGCUCCGGACCUCCUAACGUGGAUUACUUGGUGCGUCCCAGCCGGGCUCAGAAGACUCAGGACCUCCCUCCAUCCUUGGAUUGAUUCAUUCCACCUGGCCGUCGGGUCGCGUUACCCGGAGGGGCUUCCUUCUCCCGCCGGGGGUGAGGAGGGCCAGCCUGAAGGGGUUUGGGAAGCGGCUGACGGAGUCUCUGCAGAAGGACCACCGAGGUCACGGCCGAGGAAGCCCAAGAAAGACGCCCUUCUCCCACCCCUGCCGCAGAGACCCCGUUAGCUAAAGCCUCUGCCAACAGUGUGCACUCAAGUUAGGGCUGUCCGCUCCAGCUUGGAGCGGCUGCCCGCACAGAGGGGAGUGCUGCUUCUCCGGGUAAGGCCGCUUUGAGUCACCUGGGUCUCAACACACAGCGAACUUCAGUUGUCCAGGUGGAGU
rnacentral:lncRNA from 1 species